rnacentral:lncRNA from 1 species
GGAAAAUAACUCCAAGAGGAAAUUGACUGUGAAGCCUUAUGGAGUGCCCCCUCAAGAUGGGGAAAAAAAAGAAAAGAGAGAAAUAUAAUCAAGCACUCAGAGUGGAGAAAAUUAAGUGCUGGCGGAGCAGCAGCCAUGCCUAUGCGGACAAAUAAGGAAGUACAAGCAUGAAAGCAAAAUCAGAGGAACAUUUCCUGGACAGCAUUCCCAUCUCCAGGACUAUGUGCUGGUGACCCUUAGAAGUCAGACCCCAGCCUCACCGACCCCUGGUCACUGGGCGCCUCUGAAUGCUGACCUCCAGCCCAAGGUCUGCUCAUCAAACUGUGUGAAAUGAACGCAAGAGUGAAGGAACACAGCGGCGAGUCAAGGACAGAAUAAAUAACUGUCAGAAAGUUCCCCGAGGGGCCACUGCAGCACCGAGCCUCGCCGUCCUUCAGGUGUCCCGAGCACAAGGCCAAGGCCAUCCCUACCUGCGGACGAUCCUCAGAAGUGUUGUUUGCCUGGAGAGUCACAUCCCCACACAGCUCAAAAUCAUCAGAAUAGUCCACAGGAGGUUCGAUGUGGAGCCGUGGGCCAGCUUCUGUUCUGAUCUGCACAGAUUUCUGUACAAAAAUGCAGGCCAUUUCAGAUAAGGUGGAAUGAGGUCUUUAUUCCUCUGCGGGGCAGGGACUGGCACUGGAGAGGUUCAGCCAGGAUCUAUGGGCAUAGAUACCAUGGGGUGGUGUGCCUGCAUGCAACAGCAGUGGUGUCAUGAUGAGCAUGGGCCACAGGCCUCCUCCUCAUCCGGGCCAGCACUGGAUGGGCCAUGCCACCUCGCUCAAGAGUCUACUGUUUCUUGCUGUCCAAAGAACGUGCA